rnacentral:rRNA from 1 species
GAAAUAGAACCUGAAACCGUGUGCUUACAAGUAGUCAGAGCCCGUUAAUGGGUGAUGGCGUGCCUUUUGUAGAAUGAACCGGCGAGUUACGAUUUGAUGCAAGGUUAAGCAGUAAAUGUGGAGCCGUAGCGAAAGCGAGUCUGAAUAGGGCGUUUAGUAUUUGGUCGUAGACCCGAAACCAGGUGAUCUACCCUUGGUCAGGUUGAAGUUCAGGUAACGCUGAAUGGAGGACCGAACCGACUUACGUUGAAAAGUGAGCGGAUGAACUGAGGGUAGCGGAGAAAUUCCAAUCGAACCUGGAGAUAGCUGGUUCUCUCCGAAAUAGCUUUAGGGCUAGCCUCAAGUGAUGAUUAUUGGAGGUAGAGCACUGUUUGGACGAGGGGCCCCUCUCGGGUUACCGAAUUCAGACAAACUCCGAAUGCCAAUUAAUUUAACUU